AUUGAACGCUGGCGGAAUGCUUUACACAUGCAAGUCGAACGGUAGAGGGGGCAACCCCUUGAGAGUGGCGAACGGGUGAGUAAUAUAUCGGAACGUGCCCAGUCGUGGGGAUAACGUAGCGAAAGUUACGCUAAUACCGCAUACGAUCUACGGAUGAAAGCGGGGGACUCGCAAGAGCCUCGCGCGAUUGGAGCGGCCGAUAUCAGAUUAGGUAGUUGGUGAGGUAAAGGCUCACCAAGCCGACGAUCUGUAGUUGGUCUGAGAGGACGACCAGCCACACUGGGACUGAGACACGGCCCAGACUCCUACGGGAGGCAGCAGUGGGAAUUUUGGACAAUAGGGCGCAAGCCUGAUCCAGCAAUGCCGCGUGCAGGAUGAAGGCCUUCGGUUGUAAC
rnacentral:rRNA from 1 species